GGUUCAGGAUGAACGCUAGCUACAGGCUUAACACAUGCAAGUCGAGGGGCAUCAGGAAGAAAGCUUGCUUUCUUUGCUGGCGACCGGCGCACGGGUGAGUAACACGUAUCCAACCUGCCCUUUACUCGGGGAUAGCCUUUCGAAAGAAAGAUUAAUACCCGAUAGCAUAAUGAUUCCGCAUGGUUUCAUUAUUAAAGGAUUCCGGUAAAGGAUGGGGAUGCGUUCCAUUAGGUUGUUGGUGAGGUAACGGCCCACCAAGCCUUCGAUGGAUAGGGGUUCUGAGAGGAAGGUCCCCCACAUUGGAACUGAGACACGGUCCAAACUCCUACGGGAGGCAGCAGUGAGGAAUAUUGGUCAAUGGGCGCUAGCCUGAACCAGCCAAGUAGCGUGAAGGAUGAAGGCUCUAUGGGUCGUAAACUUCUUUUAUAUAAGAAUAAAGUGCAGUAUGUAUACUGUUUUGUAUGUAUUAUAUGAAUAAGGAUCGGCUAACUCCGUGCCAGCAGCCGCGGUAAUACGGAGGAUCCGAGCGUUAUCCGGAUUUAUUGGGUUUAAAGGGAGCGUAGGUGGACUGGUAAGUCAGUUGUGAAAGUUUGCGGCUCAACCGUAAAAUUGCAGUUGAUACUGUCAGUCUUGAGUACAGUAGAGGUGGGCGGAAUUCGUGGUGUAGCGGUGAAAUGCUUAGAUAUCACGAAGAACUCCGAUUGCGAAGGCAGCUCACUGGACUGCAACUGACACUGAUGCUCGAAAGUGUGGGUAUCAAACAGGAUUAGAUACCCUGGUAGUCCACACAGUAAACGAUGAAUACUCGCUGUUUGCGAUAUACAGUAAGCGGCCAAGCGAAAGCAUUAAGUAUUCCACCUGGGGAGUACGCCGGCAACGGUGAAACUCAAAGGAAUUGACGGGGGCCCGCACAAGCGGAGGAACAUGUGGUUUAAUUCGAUGAUACGCGAGGAACCUUACCCGGGCUUAAAUUGCAGUGGAAUGAUGUGGAAACAUGUCAGUGAGCAAUCACCGCUGUGAAGGUGCUGCAUGGUUGUCGUCAGCUCGUGCCGUGAGGUGUCGGCUUAAGUGCCAUAACGAGCGCAACCCUUAUCUUUAGUUACUAACAGGUUAUGCUGAGGACUCUAGAGAGACUGCCGUCGUAAGAUGUGAGGAAGGUGGGGAUGACGUCAAAUCAGCACGGCCCUUACGUCCGGGGCUACACACGUGUUACAAUGGGGGGUACAGAAGGCAGCUAGCGGGUGACCGUAUGCUAAUCCCAAAAUCCUCUCUCAGUUCGGAUCGAAGUCUGCAACCCGACUUCGUGAAGCUGGAUUCGCUAGUAAUCGCGCAUCAGCCAUGGCGCGGUGAAUACGUUCCCGGGCCUUGUACACACCGCCCGUCAAGCCAUGGGAGCCGGGGGUACCUGAAGUACGUAACCGCAAGGAUCGUCCUAGGGUAAAACUG
rnacentral:rRNA from 1 species